rnacentral:SRP_RNA from 2 species
GCCGGGCAUGGUGGCGCAUGCCUGUAAUCCCAGUUACUCAGGAGGCUGAGGCAGGAGGAUCGCUUGAACCCAGGAGGCAGAGGUUGCAGUGAGCUGAGAUCACGCCACUGCACUCCAUCUUGGGUGACAGAGUGAGACUCCAUCUCAA